rnacentral:tRNA from 1 species
GGGGUGGUGGCGCAGUUGGAUAGCGCGUAGGUCUCAUAGUUGGGGUCGUGAGUUCGAGACUCUCUCGCUCCA